rnacentral:rRNA from 1 species
UACGUAGGGUGCAAGCGUUAAUCGGAAUACUGGGCGUAAAGCGUGCGCAGGCGGUUAUGUAAGACAGAUGUGAAAUCCCCGGGCUCAACCUGGGAACUGCAUUUGUGACUGCAUAGCUAGAGUACGGUAGAGGGGGAUGGAAUUCCGCGUGUAGCAGUGAAAUGCGUAGAUAUGCGGAGGAACACCGAUGGCGAAGGCAAUCCCCUGGACCUGUACUGACGCUCAUGCACGAAAGCGUGGGGAGCAAAUGGG